GUAACAAAGGUUUCCGUAGGUGAACCAGCGG
rnacentral:rRNA from 1 species